rnacentral:rRNA from 1 species
CUCGUAGCUUGCUAUGAGAACAAUUAGUGGCAGACGGGCGAGUAAUGCAUAGGAAUCUACCUAGUAGUAUAGGAUAGCCACUAGAAAUGGUAGGUAAUACUGUAUAAUCCCUGCGGGGGAAAGAUUUAUCGCUACAUGAUGAGCCUAUGUUAGAUUAGCUAGUUGGUGGGGUAAUGGCCUACCAAGGCAGUGAUCUAUAGCUGGUCUGAGAGGAUGAUCAGCCACACUGGAACUGAGACACGGUCCAGACUCCUACGGGAGGCAGCAGUGGGGAAUAUUGGACAAUGGGCGCAAGCCUGAUCCAGCUAUGCCGCGUGAGUGAGGAAGGCCUUAGGGUUGUAAAACUCUUUCAGUGGGGAAGAUAAUGACGGUACCCACAGAAGAAGUCCCGACAAACUCCGUGCCAGCAGCCGCGGUAAUACGGAGGGGGCAAGCGUUGUUCGGAAUUAUUGGGCGUAAAGGGCAUGUAGGUGGUUUGGUAAGUUAAAGGUGAAAUGCCAGGGCUUAACCCUGGAGCUGCUUUUAAUACUGCCAGACUGGAGUCCGGGAGA